rnacentral:rRNA from 1 species
UACGUAGGGUGCAAGCGUUAAUCGGAAUUACUGGGCGUAAAGCGUGCGCAGGCGGUUAUGUAAGACAGAUGUGAAAUGCCCGGGCUUAACCUGGGAACUGCAUUUGUGACUGCAUGGCUAGAGUUUGGCAGAGGGGGGUAGAAUUCCACGUGUAGCAGUGAAAUGCGUAGAUAUGCGGAGGAACACCGAUGGCGAAGGCAAUCCCCUGGGCCUGCACUGACGCUCAUGCACGAAAGCGUGGGGAGCAAACAGG